rnacentral:lncRNA from 1 species
UAUCAGGAAAGCUGGAGUGAGUUGGGGCAGGGUCUUUACAAACAUUUUUGUCCUUGGCAGAUGGGAUGGCGACUUUAAGACCCAGUGCCACCCAGGUGGAGGUUGUAUCCUGUGGAAGGUAUCCCUCAUCCCCUCUUUCGAGACAAGCUGCCCCUGUCGUUUGGUGUAGUGGGACUGAACAUUCUGCUCCUAGCCCGAGGUUAGGGUGGCUAAGAUGCAGCCCUCUGCCUUUUUCUCCCUCCAGGGGUCACUGGAAACGGUCGACACUUCUCUGUUCUCCUCUCCUGGAUCUGUAAAUUCCAUUGCCAGCAGUCUGGUGUCCCAGGUCUGGCGCUUCUUUGGCUGUGGACAUGAAGAGGUUACUCCAGCCCUGGAGCCUGCUGGGCUGAGUUAGCAAUUCCCCUCCACAUCCAGGAGCUCUCCAAGUAGCAGCUCCCUUUGCACCACGCAAAGGGGAUAGCAGAGCAGGCUAGGGACACCGCUGCAGUAGGUCGCAGCAGGGGUUCUGUCAGCAUGUGUCAUCCCGUGGAUCCCCACUGUCAGGCCAGGCGGCCGGGAACUGGAAGGCAAAGGCAUCCGGAGGAGUGAAGGAUGCCCCCUUAGCUGCAGAGCGCCUGCUGGAACUGCUGCUGCUGCUGCUGCUGCUGUUGCUGCACACGCCUUUCGCUGUCUCCCCAGGCUGCAGCGGCCCCUGGGACCCAGAAGCGGGACUGGAGCCGCAGAGAUCCAGGCAGGACCCAGGAGUCUCGGACUGCCGCCUGUGAGGCAGCUCCCCAGGGAGCCUGGGCAGUGCUCUGCUGGCUGCCCGGUGCAGGGCUGGAGCCCUCUCUAGCCAGUGUGGCUGAGAAGCAAUCAUCUCUUCCCCAGCCACAGGAGCGGCCCAUCCACAUCCAGGCUUCUUUCUUGAGCAGAGGAAGUAACUCCUGUUGGGGCAGCUUUGACUGAGCUCUACAGCUAAGGCUUGUACACCAGCCCCCUCGUUUGCAGAGCCUUCGGGGUCAUUUCUCAGCUGCCGAAUUUGAGAGAAAAAAACAAAAACAAAACAAAACUGUGAGAACAGAGCAGAGUGUGGAGCCUUGUAAACUUUGGAGGCGGGGACAUUUUCUUGAAGGGGACAAGUGGCCCCAAAUCUACACUGUUCUCGGGCUAGUGGCAAAGCCUAUUGGUGGAACACCAGCCACAAGGCCAACAGCAAGGACUUACGACCGUCAUGGAGUCCGUGUUGGCAGCAUCCAGUUCUCCCACAGGCCGGGUUACCUUCUCCCGUGUCUUCGGCCAACAGUGCCAGCUGAUGGAAGCAGCGGUGCAGUCAUUGCACACCCUAAAUGACCAGAUUUCCCAUUUCAUUGUUACCAAGUCGAAGGCACUGGAGGAAGACGAUGACCCCUUUCUACCCACGGAGAAAGAGACACUGAAGAACUCGAUGAUAUUGAUGAGACAUCUCUUAAUGGAUGCCCAGGCGCCUCACUCAGCCUGGUUCUCAUGGAUUCUCCUCGACCAUCUGGCCAGUGAGAUCGUGUCUCUGCUUGCCCAUGCUGGGAUUAUAGACGCACACUUCAACACAAGAGUGCUGAGUUGUCAAAUCAACUUCUCAUACCUGUAUAGCAAGCAUUUGCCAGAAUGAACUGUCUCUUUAAUCCCAAAUCAUAUAUACAUUGUAUAUAAUUUUUUUUUGUAUAAACUUUUUGGCUUGGUUUUGUUGAAACAGUGUUUCUUGUUGCUCAGGUUGGCCUCUAAUCCAUGAUGUUAUGUAGCCCAGGCUGGCCUUCAAGUUCCAAUCCUCCUAUAUGCAACCCCAACUGGUGUGGCCGUGAGCAUGCACCACCAGGCCUGGCUCCUUUUAUAACCUUUUUUCUUUACAUUUAGGGAAACAUCAGUUGUCCUGUUCUAUUCCCUGCUAACACUAGGGUCUUAAAAUCUCUCCAGAUGUAUAGCCUCACUGACUUUAAAUAAAC